CAAUCAGGCAUUCCCUGUACACCAUAAUCGAUGGACUUAGAUGUCUUCGGAUGGAAGGGUAUGGUGAAAGACACUUUUCCUCUCACUGGACUUGAGCACUUUAGAAUUAGUCAGUGGCUGCCUAUCAAAAACGAAGUGAGUCACGUUCAACUUCCAAUAUAUUGUGGAAUAUUUUCUCAAGAGUUUCAUACACAUCAUUUAUAUAAUAUUGGAUUAUAUAUUUUGUGGUGAAGAAAGUAGAUAGAUGUAAGAGAAUAGCGGACUGCUUAAAAUCGAUUUCACGGCACACAAUGAAAAUGCUUUCCAGUGGUUUCAGGUGGAACGAUGUAAUCUUCAGGCCAUGGACGCAUGAAGAAAUCCUUCAAUUAUUCUUGACACUCCUGAGGCCUCAAAGCAAAAGGCAACAUGGCGGGAGGGAGAAAGCGUCUCAGGGGUGAGGCACUCCAGCGCUUUGCUGGGCGGACACAUGAAGCUUCCUUUCUCCCGCAGCUCUGUAGAAAAAGGCUCAACCGAUCCCAACCAUUCGAAGGAAUCCGUUGGAUGAGUGGGAGGCCUUGCGUUUAUUAGACUCCCUCCAGUGUAGUCGGAACAAGUGUUCGUUUUACUUUCUUCAGUAUUUGAGAUGAGAUAAUCUCCUUCCUGACUUAAAUUUUGUGCGUGCGUGCGAGAGAAACAUCUGAAUCGAGAGGGACUUAAUGAGAAAAGCUUGGUCCCCUCCUUACCAACUGUAGCACCUUGAAGCCCUGCAAGUUUUCCAACAUACAAGGAGGAGAUCAAAUCCACUUGCCUUGUAGACAAGGAGGCUCAUUCCUCAAGCCCGGCUGUUGUGAAGGGGGUUAUGAUAAACACGGAUGUGCAGGUUUCUGAGGAAAGAUGAUCCUCAGGUGGGUGUUCAAAGUCAUAAGACCAGGCUUUCCUGAAACCCUACGGGAAGGCCUGUUGCUACUCUGUGAUCGGAUGUGCCCUCUUCAGAAGGCAUAUAACAAAUAAGGGCAAAAUAUAGGAUGCUUCGCUUGGAGGACAGGGUCUCCUACUCAGAGGAGACCUGGGUUCAGUUCCCGGCACCCACGUGUGGCUCACAAUCACCUGUCACUUCAGCUCCAGACGAUUUGACUCUCUCUUCUGACCUCUACAGAUACAAGGCACAAAUGCGGGCCAUGAGGAUAGCACUCUGUGAUCUGUGACAAUGAGUAGUGAAGUCAUUCUUAGGGGCUUCUGGGACAGCUUUCUUUGUGCUCAUCCACUGAGUUGAUGGUUGGUGACUUGAGGACAUGAUGCAUGAAUCACAACCUCUGCCCUGAUGUCUAAGGUCAAGAACAAACUGUAUCUAGAUAUAAAUAACACAUAAAUAUGAGCAGGCCUGGUUCAUGGACAUAUUCCUUUAGAGCUCUAAGGAACAAGUUAGCUUUGUGACUUUGACAGAAAACAGAAGGCUCCUACUGGUUACAUGGAGACAUAGUGUCUGGCAAAGGAGUGGAUCAUCUGAAGACCUUGGUAUUAGAAGGAGAACUAGACCUCAGGGAGGAGGCUUCCGGCUCAGCACCAGAACGAGUCUUCUAAGUUCUGUCUCUGAAGUUUGUGAUGUCUUCAGUAACAAAGCUUACCCUCCAGUGUUUGGAGGUUAAAGAUGAAAACCAGCUGUUGAUUGUGAGAAAAUGCAUCCAGGUUCAUAAAUCCGGACUCCAAGUGUAGUGACCAAAGUGGAGGUGCUGUGGAGUGUAAUCAUCAGAAGACCAGAUGGGCCUCUUAUAUUCUCAUCUGCAUGAAACCCCCCCCCCCUUACUUCUAGCCUUACCACAUUGAGGAUUUUAUAUAGUCAUUCAUUUGUUUAGACAGGCUCUCACAAUACAGCCUAGGUUGUCCAAAGCUCACUAUAUAUCCCAGCUAACAGUGAACUACUCACACUACCCCUGCCUCAGCCUUCUGGGUGCUAGGAUUAGAGCCAUUAAGCCACAACCCAUGACAACUUCAAAUAAUUUUUCCAAAUCCAUUUCCUCAUCUCUGAGGUGAGGGGCUGAUGCUAAAGCAUAAAUCAUAAGGUGAGUUUAGAAAAGGAGAUGGCGAGACCCAUAGCAAAUGCUAUCAAAAGGUGGACAGCAUCCACCAUGGGAGUUUGGGAGUAAACUGAUUUCAUGGGUCACAGAUGAUGAAGAGGAUAAUGGAGAAUUUUUGUUGUGGGAGGAAGUCAUGUGGUUACAUGUGGAAGCCAUGAACAGGUGUACAGGGUACCAAUACAAAAUAUUUCCUGUUGUGGAUCAUGAUCAAUAAAGUUAGGUCAGCAUUAUGGUCUAUUACUUUUGCCCACUUAUCAUUUUGUUUGAUUUUUUUCUCAUGGUUUAGAAUGUAUCUCAUUUUCUUACUGCCAUUUUGGUAGUAACAUGGCCAUCGCCUCACAUAAGAAUAACACUCCCACAAAACUAUGCCUUCUCCAUCCUUCCAGCCAUGGCAGCCAUGAUACGCAUGCAUUUGACUUCU
rnacentral:lncRNA from 1 species